rnacentral:lncRNA from 1 species
UUCCAUCAGGAAAACAGACAAGUAUCUUUGCAGACACUAGAUCAAAACUCAUCAUCAUCCUCCUCAGCUAUGUGCUUUGCAAGCUCUUGCUCCUGCUGUUGUCUCUCCCUCCUUUUCUCAGCACUUUCUUUCUCCUUGUGGGAAUUAGGUGGAAACCUAAGGGCACGUACUGCCUCAUUAUGCAUGUUGAGGCAGAAGGCAAUCCUAGAGUUAAAUGCCAGCUGAGGCUCAUUUGUGGAGUAUAUGUCCCCUGUUUCCUUGGAUACCAUCCACCCAUUUGCACGAUCUAAAGUAGCAUCAAUAGCACCAUCUCGUAUUGCCUUAGCCACAAUACUCUCAG